GCUCAUCCUUCCCACUUACCAAGGCAUCUCUCGGAGCGUUCUUGGGAGGCGCCAUCUUGCCCGACUCCAUAUUAUCCAGCCACUCGUCAUCGGAGGACAGAGGAGAGAGAGAGGAGCUCGCGGGCUCCUCGCUCAGGCUCCACCCCUGCGGGGAGAGGGAGGAGGGAAGCGGAAGGCGGGGUUACGUGCCAGCCGCGGGGGGCGGGAGUUUCAGCAAGACGCUGGCCAGGGGAAGAGACGCGCUCGGGCGCCGGAACUCAGGAUUGGAAGAAGCAGACACCUGAAAUUGUGUCCUGAAGAUGCAUGCAACAACAAGACAGAGAAAUUUGCUGAAAAAAAUGCCACAGCAGGAAACAACUAACACAUCCAAUCGUCAAAAAGAAGAAAAUGACCACGCUAACUCCUUUACAACAGACAAUCCAGUCAGUCAUCCUGAACAACUUGUCUGCAGCCAUCCAGGUCUGGCUCAACCUCUGCCUCCUCCUGAUGACACUGAUCCUUCUACCAUCUGUCACCCCACAGACUGUUGAAAACCAUACAUAUUGAGCCUGUAUUCCUUUUCCUCUUCUUAUUCGAGCCAUGACAUGGAUGGACACCCCUAUCGAGGUCUAUGUUAAUGAUAGUAUUUGGAUGCCUGGUUCUGUAGAUGAUCGUUGUCCUGCCCAACCUUCAGAAUAAAGAACCCCUUUCAAUAUCACUUUAAGUUUUAGGUAUCCACCUUGUGCCUGGGACCCACUAAUGGAUGUCUCUCAUUAGAUAUUCAAAUUUGGGCAGUUACACUACAAUCUAGUCACUCUGUCCCUCCUUUAGGACACUUGGUAUCAGGGCUCUCAUUAAAACCUCUAAGACGGAUCAAAAUAAGAAUCACUGAUUAUAUUCACACAUCCCAAUAUGAGCCUUUAGGACCUGCGUGUCCCCUGAACUUGUCUUCAAAUGCUGACAAAUUAAUAUGGAAGGAUUGUGUUAGUUCAGAAGGAACUGUGUUAUUUAAUUCUUCUCACUACACCAUUGCUGAUUGGGCUCCUAAAGGUCAUAUUACUAAUGAUUGCUCUCAAAGUCACAGAGAUUAUCAAUAUUUUCUCCAUGAUAUUACUUAUCAAAAAAGUAAUGAUAAUCCUCCCCUAUUAUAUCGUAUGUUUAACUCCUUUUUUCCUUUUAAGUGGAAAGGGGCGGGGGUUGCCCCUCCAAAGCCAAGGCUCAUUGUUCCCCACUUAGGACCUGAACAUUCAGAAUUGUGGAGAUUAACCAUAGCUAUGACUGGUAUGAGACUUUGGGCUGGAGAAAGUGCUAUAAGUAAAUCCACCUAGUCACCUUGAAAACUAAGACAACAGACUGAUUUACACUACUAUUUACACACAGCCAAAAAUAUCACUAUGGCAGUCAUCAAAAGGUCAAUUCAAAGACGGGACAGUAAAGAUUAUGAGAACUUCUACCCCCCUGUUGCUAAUGUCCCCCCACCACCUCUCAUUCAACCUAUUCCCCCCACUCCACAUUCACAAAAAAGAGUACCAUCCCAAAAUAUAUAUACUGUCUAUAUGGAGUCCAAUAAAACUAUCCCACUUAAAAGUUGUGUUAAACCACCAUAUAUGUUAUUAGUACAAAAGAUGCAUAUUAUUUAAAAAAAAAUUACCUGUGUAAAUUGUUACUUGUAUACUUGUAUUGACUCAUCCUUUAAUCAAUACCAUAGUAUUUUAAUAGUCAGAGUCAGAGAAGGUAUUUGGCUCCCUGUAGCCUUACAUAGGCCUUGGGAAUCUUCCCCUUCUAUCCAUGUUAUUAACAAUAUUCUACAAAAAUUUCCUAGAAGGAGUAAAUGAUUUAUUUUUACAUUAAUUGCAGUAAUAAUGGGCUUGAUUUCUGUUACUGCGACUGCUGCUACUGCUGGAGUUGCAUUACAUCAAUCUAUUCAAACUGUUCAUUUUGUGGAUAAAUGGCAAACAAAUUCUACUCAAAUGUGGAACUUUCAGUCAGGUAUUGAUCAAAAAUUGGCCAAUCAAAUUAAUGACCUAAGACAAGCUGUUAUAUGGAUGGGAGAUAGAAUUAUGAGUUUAGAACAUAGAUUAAAAAUGCAAUGUCAUUGGAAUACUUCUGGUUUUUGUAUAACUCCAUUUCAAUAUAAUGAGUCUGUUCACAAUUGGGAAUUGGUAAAAUGCCAUUUACAAGGAAGUGAAGGUAAUUUAAGUUUAGACAUAAGCAAACUAAAAGAACAGAUUUUUGAGGCCUCUCAAGCACACGUAACUGCUUUACCCAGUGCUGAAGUUUUAGACGGUAUCUCUGAGGGUUUAUCUAAUCUCAACCCCAUUCAAUGGGUAAAAUCUUUGGGAGGAUCCACUAUCGUUCAUUUUGUUCUGUGUAUAAUUUGUGCUAUUGGUUUAUUGUUCAUGUGUAAAAUUGGAAAAAGUAUUCUUCAAUCUAGUCGUAAUCAGUGCCAAGGUAUGGAAAAAGUAUUCUUCAAUCUAGUCGUAAUCAGUGCCAAGGUAUGAUUGCUAUGGUUCAUUUAAAUCAGAGAAAAGGGGGAGAUGUAGGGAUAAGCCCCUGAAACUAUUGCUACGGAAUAAAAGAUGAAAUGCUCCUGAUUGUUGUAAAUACAAAAUUGAAUGCAGGAUUGUGUAAAGACAAUGCCAGGUUGGACUGCCAGAAUGAGCCAACAGCACAUGAUGUGCUUUCCCCUGCAGAGAGCCUGUGAACGGACGUGCAGUCAGGGAGGUUUCACAUCACUAAGAUUCCUAUCCCAGAAAAGCAGAUGUUCAUAGCUCUGGGAAUGGAAUGUGACCCUUGUGGAGAGCCUAUAAACACAUGCAUGAGAGGCACCUGUCCUUAUGGAUAAGCUAGGGCUAUAAAUGCCGUCAUCUUGCCACGGCUCUUCUAGAUCUCUUUAGGGUUAAGGCAUACUCCCUUCUGAGAAUUUCUGGUCUAAAUGGUUGUCUAGCUUCACAUCCUGUUGCUGUGGAUUGUUUGUAACCAGCUUUUGCUGUAACUGUUACUGCUGAUUAAUAUCUGGCUAAUCAUAGGUUAUGGAAAGACUAUGUUUCUGUUUUAAGUCUCUGUUAGAAAUUAUUGAUGUACACACUAUAUUGUAAAUUCUUAUCUCUGUAUACUUUACUUCUGCAUACAGAUGUUAUGUUAAAGAAUUACUUCAUCCCCAUGUGACCAUCUAACCUCAUAAUCAAAUGACCCUAAAUCCCUCACUAACCUACCCCCGCCCUCACUGAAUAUAAUAAUAAAUGCUGGUAUAUCCAGUGCAUUGGUGGCACCAUGGGACCAGAAGGCGGUGACCCCCCUGGACCCAGCUUUCACUA